rnacentral:lncRNA from 1 species
GACUCAUUCAGUUAAUGCUCCUUGCGAGGAAGGGGUGGGGUGCCGCGUCUUGCUUUUCGGGCCGUCUCCAAUAAUUUGCACCCUGUGUUGUGCGAGAUUAUGAAUCAUGGGGUGUGCUCCCUGUUUGUCAUGUGUGUAAAUUCUGGUCCCCUGGAACGGCAUGGCAUGUGGGAGACGAGAUGUAGAUUCUUUCUCGUGUUACUAUCCUUGAUGCAGAUGCAGUUACUGCAGCCGCUUCUCCCUGGGCGUCUAUUCUCCCAUGCAAAGAAAUAGAGCAAGGGGGCCAUGUGGUGUGGAUCAAGGCAUUAUUGGUAGCCGGCAUGCAUGCACCUCGCUGGAAAAUUGUUUUUCAAUGAAGACUUUAGAUUUGCCUCAUCAAUUAAAUAAGGAGAAAAUAGAGUUGAAAG